rnacentral:tRNA from 1 species
UUCCUGGUGGUCUAGUGGUUAGGACUCAGGGCUUUCAUCACUGUGACUGGGUUCAAUCCCUGGUCUGGAAA